UCCUGGUCCUUAUCCAGUCCUCCUUCUGACAUUUGGGGGUCGCCCCUCCCUAUUCCCGGUCCAAGUGCUUUGGGUGGGACUCCACCCCUGGAUCCAGCCAAUCCGAACAUACCAUUCCGCUGCCUGUGGUGAUUGGCUCAGAGGUAGGCAUGUGACCUGAGUGCAUCCAAUCAGAGUGAGUCCAAGUGCUGCCAUAGGAGAUCUUGGAAAAGCCCAGGCCGGGCUCCGUGGCUCACAUCUGUAAUCCCAGCACGGUGGGAGGCUGAGGCGGGUGGAUCACGAGGUGAAUGGAUAUGACAGUAGCUAAAAGGAGAGGCUGGAAGAGAUUAUAGAAUUUUGUGGAGAAAAAUUCGUUCUUUUCCUGAGGGAAGGCCAAAGCCUGCAGUCAUGAUGGAGUUGGAGAAAGGUGUGAAGGGCCAGGCCAGGAGCCCAGGGAGAGGAGGCCUGAGAGAGGAGCCCUGUGGAAUGAAGCCUGUGAACAGCCCAUUUUCACUUCUGAAGCAGUUGGUCCCCCACAAAAAGAUUAUUUUCUCCAAAGCAGAUGAAAAU
rnacentral:lncRNA from 1 species